CCUACGGGUGGCUGCAGUGAGGAAUAUUGGUCAAUGGGCGAGAGCCUGAACCAGCCAAGUCGCGUGAAGGAUGACGGCCCUACGGGUUGUAAACUUCUUUUGUCAGGGAGCAAUUGGUUCCACGCGUGCGCUUAGCCAUAGUACCUGCAGAAAAAGCAUCGGCUAACUCCGUGCCAGCAGCCGCGGUAAUACGGAGGUGGCAAGCGUUGUCCGGAUUUACUGGGUGUAAAGGGCGUGUAGCCGGGUUGACAAGUCAGAUGUGAAAUCCUGCGGCUUAACCGCAGAACUGCAUUUGAAACUGUUGAGCUUGAGUACUGGAGAGGCAGACAGAAUUCCUGGUGUAGCGGUGAAAUGCGUAGAGAUUAGGAGGAACACCAGUGGCGAAGGCGGUCUGCUGGACAGCAACUGACGGUGAGGCGCGAAAGCGUGGGGAGCAAACAGGAUUAGAUACCCCAGUAGUC
rnacentral:rRNA from 1 species